GCAAACUUGGUCAUUUAGAGGAAGUAAAAGUCGUAACAAGGUUUCCGUAGGUGAACCUGCGGAAGGAUCAUUACCGAGUUAGGGUCCUCUGGGCCCGAACCUCCCAACCCUUUGUCUACCCAACCUCUGUUGCCUCGGCGGGCCCGUCCUUCACCGGACCGCCGGAGGACCCGUCGCCCUGCGGCGGUGCCUCUGGCCCGUGCCCGCCGGUGGCCCAACCAUUGAAACUCUUUGUUUAAAUCGUGUCCAUUUAGUCUAAAUUCAAAACCAAAAAUAAAACGCAAAACUUUCAACAACGGAUCUCUUGGUUCUGGCAUCGAUGAAGAACGCAGC
rnacentral:misc_RNA from 1 species